AAGUGUUAUGUCAUCAUCUCUUAUCAUUGACACCUCAUUGUCACAUCAUCACCUUCAAUGAUGUGACAAUAAUGUGUCAGUAAUUAGACCUGAUGACGUGACACUCUAU
rfam:Glycine max cultivar Williams 82 chromosome 2, whole genome shotgun sequence.